GUGGACAUGGGAGAGGAAGAAGAACAAUAAUCUCUAAGGAGAUUUGUGACAAUGUACUGGACCAUGUUCUUGUACUUGGUGUGACAAUGAGGGUAGCAGGAAGCAGAGAGUACAGACAAACCUGAGCUGCUUUUACUGUUAAACGGUAAUUUACUGUAAAAAGUCUAUGCUGACUAUCCAUUUUUCUGUACUCUGUAUGUAUUAGCACAAGUAGAACAAUACAGGAAAAUUACAUGAACGUGAAGCUUGUAUUCAAAUUCUCUAAAAUGUAUUUAAAUGUAAAUGUGUUCCAUACACUACUUCACAUCAAAUUGAGACACCAGCGGACGAUAGUAUAAGUAGCAAUUGUGAACAUGGUUGUCAAAAACAACCUCAUUCUUUUAGAAAAUCCAAUGAAGGAAAAUAAUUCAGGAGAAUGGCAUCUUCAAAAGUAUAGAGACAGUCAGAAAGUAAGUGAAAGACUCUGGCCCAGGUUGAAUACAGUUUUUUAUCUAUUAUCUAUUGUAAAAAAUGUAAUCCAAAUGAAACUUGGGUCAAGUUUUGAUCUCCUUUUUAACCUGAUGAGCACAGCAAUGUUCUGUGUUUGCAAAACUAAAAUCUCUGAUUGCUUUCACACACUAUGUCAAUGCUAAGCACAUAUGUACUAUAAUUAGUACUAUAAUUAUUAUGAGAUAUAGUUAUACUAUAAUUAGUAUUUGUUGUAGUUAUAAUUGGUAUUAGUUAAAGUAACACCCUAAUUAAUAUUAGUUUGAACCAUAAAAGGAAGGCAAACAUGUUGCAUGACCACUUCACAGACUGAUGUGUUACAUUUAUUAACACUAUUUAACAGGUUCUGUGGUGGUUCUAUACAGUCCAGGUUCUGUAGUGGUUCUCUUCAGUCCAGGUUCUGUGGUGGUUCUCUACAGUCCAAGUUCUAUGGUGGUUCCCUUCAGUCCAGGAUAUGUGGUGGAUUUCUUCAGUCCAGGUUCUGUGGUGGUUCAAUGCAGCCCAGGUUCUGUGGUGGUUCUAUACAGUCCAGGUUCUGUGCUGGUUCUAUUCAGUCCAGGUUCUGUGGUGGUUCUCUUCAGUCCAGGUUCGGUGAUGGUUCUAUUCAGUCCAGUGUCUGUGGUGGUUCUCUUCAGUACAGGUUCUGUCAUGGUUCUCUACUGUCCAGGUUCUGUGGUGGUUCUCUUUAGUCCAGGUUCUGUGUUGAUUUUCUUCAGUCCAGGUUCUGUGGUGGUUCUCUACAGUCCAGUUUCUGUUUGGGUUCUCUUCAUUCCAGGUUCUGUGUUGGUUCAAUACAAUCUAGGUUCUGUGUUGGUUCUAUACAGUCCAGGUUCUGUGUUGGUUUUCUUCAGUCCAGGUUCUGUGGUGGUUCUCUUCAGUCCAGAUUCUGUGGUAGUUCUUUACAAUCCAGAUUCUGUGGUGGUUCUCAUAAGUUCUCAUAAACAUCUAUCUCUGCAUCUAUCUGUUGGUUGGUCAAUGGGUGAGU
ensembl:lncRNA